rnacentral:rRNA from 1 species
UACAGGGGGGGCAAGCGUUGUUCGGAAUUACUGGGCGUAAAGGGGCUGUAGGUGGCCAACUAAGUCAGACGUGAAAUCCCUCAGCUUAACUGGGGAACUGCGUCUGAUACUGGAUGGCUUGAGUGUGGGAGAGGAAUGCGGAAUUCCAGGUGUAGCGGUGAAAUGCGUAGAUAUCUGGAGGAACACCGGUGGCGAAGGCGGCAUUCUGGACCAUAACUGACACUGAGAGACGAAAGCCGGGGGAGCAAACGGG